rnacentral:rRNA from 1 species
CCUACGGGUGGCAGCAGUGAGGAAUAUUGGGCAAUGGGCGCAAGCCUGACCCAGCAACGCCGCGUGAAGGAAGAAGGCUUUCGGGUUGUAAACUUCUUUUAUCCGGGACGAAGCAAGUGACGGUACCUGAUGAAUAAGCCACGGCUAACUACGUGCCAGCAGCCGCGGUAAUACGUAGGUGGCAAGCGUUAUCCGGAUUUACUGGGUGUAAAGGGCGGGUAGGCGGGAGUGCAAGUCAGAUGUGAAACCUAUGGGCUCAACCCAUAGCCUGCAUUUGAAACUGUACUUCUUGAGUGCUGGGGAGGCAAUCGGAAUUCCGUGUGUAGCGGGGAAAUGCGUAGAUAUACGGAGGAACACCAGUGGCGAAGGCGGAUUGCUGGACAGUAACUGACGCUGAGGCGCGAAAGCGUGGGGAGCAAACAGGAUUAGAUACCCGUGUAGUC